rnacentral:rRNA from 1 species
GACGAACGCUGGCGGCGUGCUUAACACAUGCAAGUCGAACGGAAAGGCCCUGCUUUUGUGGGGUGCUCGAGUGGCGAACGGGUGAGUAACACGUGAGUAACCUGCCCUUGACUUUGGGAUAACUUCAGGCAACUGGGGCUAAUACCGGAUAGGAGCUCCUGCUGCAUGGUGGGGGUUGGAAAGUUUCGGCGGUUGGGGAUGGACUCGCGGCUUAUCAGCUUGUUGGUGGGGUAGUGGCUUACCAAGGCUUUGACGGGUAGCCGGCCUGAGAGGGUGACCGGCCACAUGGGGACUGAGAUACGGCCCAGAGUCCAACGGGAGGCAGCAGUGGGGAAUAUUGCACAAUGGGCGGAAGCGUGAGGCAGCAACGCCGCGUGCGGGAUGACGGCCUUCGGGUUGUAAACCGCUGUAGCCUGUGACGAAGCGGGAGUGACGGUAAUGGGUAAAGAAGCACCGGCUAACUACGUG